GUUCCCGCAGUUCAAUUGGUUAGAGUGUUAAUCUUAUGAGUCGAAGGUCAUGGGUUUGAGCCCUAUCGGGGCCA
rnacentral:tRNA from 1 species